ACUCCUACGGGAGGCAGCAGUGGGGAAUAUUGCACCAUGGGCGCAAGCCUGAUGCAGCAACGCCGCGUGAGGGACGACGGCCUUCGGGUUGUAAACCUCUUUUAGCAGGGAAGAAGCGAAAGUGACGGUACCUGCAGAAAAAGCACCGGCUAACUACGUGCCAGCAGCCGCGGUAAU
rnacentral:rRNA from 1 species